GCCGAAGUGGCGGAAUUGGUAGACGCGCUAGGUUCAGGGUCUAGUGGGCUUAUGCCUGUCCGAGUUCAAGUCUCGGCUUCGGCACCA
rnacentral:tRNA from 1 species